GACCUGGUGGUGUAGUGGUAACCUGCCUUUUCAUAAUAUCUGGAUUAUUGGGGAGUCUCUUGUUCGAUCCGGGGCCAGACCA